rnacentral:rRNA from 1 species
AACGAACGCUGGCGGCAGGCUUAACACAUGCAAGUCGAACGCCCCGCAAGGGGAGUGGCAGACGGGUGAGUAACGCGUGGGAACAUACCCUUUCCUGCGGAAUAGCUCCGGGAAACUGGAAUUAAUACCGCAUACGCCCUACGGGGAAAGAUUUAUCGGGAAGGAUUGGCCGCGUUGGAUUAGCUAGUUGGUGGGGUAAA